UGAUGGUCGAAGUGUGUCAGAUGGUUGUCAGAUGGUGUAUGAUGGUGUAGGGUGGUUAUACAGGGAAGGGUUGUCAGAUGGUGAAGAUGGUACAGAUGGUGUAUGAUGGUUGAAGUGUGUCAGAUGGUUGUCAGAUGGUGUAUGAUGGUGUAUGAUGGUCGAAGUGUGUCAGAUGGUUGUCAGAUAGUGUAUGAUGGUGUAGGGUGGUUAUACAGGGAAGGGUUGUCAGAUGGUGAAGAUGGUACAGAUGGUGUAUGAUGGUCGAAAUGUGUCAGAUGGUUGUCAGAUGGUGUAUGAUGGUGUAUGAUGGUCGAAGUGUGUCAGAUGGUUGUCAGAUGGUGUAUGAUGGUGUAGGGCGGUUAUACAGCGAAGGGUUGUCAGAUGGUGAAGAUGGUACAGAUGGUGUAUGAUGGUCGAAGUAUGUCAGAUGGUUGUCAGAUGGUGUAUGAUGGUCGAAAUGUGUCAGAUGGUUGUCAGAUGGUGUAUGAUGGUGUAGGGUGGUUAUACAGGGAAGAGCUGUCAGAUGGUGAAGAUGGUACAGAUGGUGUAUGAUGGUCGAAGUGUGUCAGAUGGUUGUCAGAUGGUGUAUGAUGGUGUAUGAUGGUCGAAGUGUGUCAGAUGGUUUUCAGAUGGUGUAUGAUGGUGUAGGGUGGUUAUACAGCGAAGGGUUGUCAGAUGGUG